GUUCAGUGUCCCAUCAUCACAAGUUGCCAGUGGUAACCUGCUGUCAGGCCACAUGUGAUUUCAUUUGUGAUCACUGCUGUGACUUCGCUGGUCACUAGCACCAUCCGGUGGCCUUUGCAGAAUAACAGCAUUUGCAUUUCUUUGAUCGUCUGCAAUGUGUAAAUACAUUACAUUAUCAUGUUCAUCCUAAUGUCAUUGUAUUACCAUAAUGUUUUUUGGGGGGGAGGGGUUGUCCAGUGAUCAUUAUUAUUUACAUUAACAUUAUUAUUUUUUUGACAUUUUAGUAUGUUUAUAGGUGUGAACUGUAUGGUGGGAUCUGUAACAUAUCAGCUACUUGCCCUUUCUCUCAAACAACUUUCUGUCAGCAACUAACAUUCCAACUCAGUGUAUUUAUUGAAAAAAGUUGAAAAUUAGAGCUAAAAAUCAACAUAACAGAAGGGGUCUAUGUAAAGUGAAGUGUAAUAUAUUUGUGUUUUCCAGAACAGCAUUGUGAACUAAGGCUGGCUUUCAAAUGUAUGUAUUGACUCGGGUCAACAGUGUCUGAUGAAAAGGUAUCACUCCAAUUUGCCAGCUUUGUAGAAAAAAGAACAGCCUUAUUUUUGGUGGCUUAUUUGUCAAAUCUCCAUGGGGAUAUUGACAAUGUGAACAUUCAGUUGGAAGGAAAUGCUUGUAAAAUAUUCAAAAAUUGGAGUCAAGAUAUUUCUGUUGUAAAUUAUGGAGAGACGCCAUAUGAAACUGAAUAUCAGGUAUGUAGAGGAGAUACUGAGGAGGAUAUGUUAAAAAAAAAUUUUAAAAAGAUAAGCAGAGGUUGGGUUUAACACUGAUACAAAAGGUCAUAUCUGGUCACAUACCUGGUUGUAACGGAUUUCAUCUUGUGGCCGACCGCACAGGAAAUCUUGCAUUGAUUUUUCUUUCUUUGUUCAGUCAGUCAGAAACGUACAACUUUAAUAUUCAGACCUCUUAUAUCAGGAUAAAAUGUAGAUGAAAUAGACACAGAGGCCUCAAAGUAUGUAUGUCUUAAUUUUGAACAGCCCAGAUUAGAAAAGGUGUAUGGUGAAAUGACAGAAUGGAUGUUUUGUAUGUUUUCAAAUAUAACUGCUGAUGUCAGAUACAAGGAAGUCAAAGGGAAGAGUCAUGAAAAUGUUAUGAGGAUAAAAGCCUAAAACGUCAAGUCAUCAUUUCAGUUAGUUUCAGAACAAAACAUGAACCUAAAAGGGCAUGGCGAUGUCUCUUUCACACAAUUUGAUCAUCAACAUCACUGGCAACUCAGAGCUUUUGGAGCCUGAACUCACACUUACACAAAAUCGAAUUUUUAACUGAAACAAAUCAGUUAAGAAAUGUAGGUAUUGGUAAUAACAUAACUUUACCCAAAAAGUCUACAGUUUACCAGCAGGAUAGACUUUCUGUCAAUGGAGAAAAAGUAAAAAGGGAGUUUUCAUAUGAGGUGAGCACAUGUCGGCCUCCAGAAGAUGAUCCUUCAUGAUGUGAAAAUGAAGAAAGUAGUGUUAAGAUAUCAAAGUAUGUAAAAAAUAUUUUUUAUCUACAGUAUGUACAGUUGUGUACUGUUGGCUACUUAUGGCAAAAUUUCAGAAUAAAAAAAGAAGUACAGUUAGAUAAUAGUUUGUAUGUUUCAAUUUUUUUCUGUUUUUGUAUUUAAGUCUCUUUCCUUUUUUGUAAAAGCAGUGUCUACUAUGCAAAAUUGGCAUUGGUUAUCAUGAUAGAAGUCUGUAACUAGAGCUGUCCUUGUAAAUGCAUUUUGAUUUUACUAUCAGGAGUGCUUUGAUUUGAUUAGUGUGGGAUAGUGUUGGUCCAUUUUAGCUAAUUCUGGCACGCUUCACGAGUCUUGCUCAAUCUUGCUGAAUGCUUGCCUCUCUAUCUCCUCUAAUUGUUUUCUGUACAAAGUGUAAGAAAGAAUUUUUAAGACAAUUAAUAAAUUAUAUUUAUAAGCAA
ensembl:lncRNA